GCCCCCGUAGUGUAAAGGAUAGCGCACCGGCCUCCGGAGCCGGUAAUUCAGGUUCGAUUCCUGACGGGGGUA
rnacentral:tRNA from 1 species